rnacentral:misc_RNA from 1 species
AAUUACGGUACCGUGCUGGCU